rnacentral:lncRNA from 7 species
GACCACUAGAAGCCGCCAGCCAGCCUGCCUAUUUGCCUAAACCUAAUCCACUAGCAGUUCGGCACUGCGGCUGCGGGGAUGCGGCGGCCGGCGGCAGCGGCACUACGGAGCCCUCAGCCAGCACCAGGUUGCGGCAACGGCAACAACCAGCAAGUGGCCAGCGAUUCACGGGUUCAGGCGUUCAGCGCCACGCCGUCGUCGCCCCAAGCCAGGUGUAGUUAUUAGUUUAGUACACUGCUCAGUGCUCAGUUAGACAGUUACAUGGAAUGCUCAAUAGGUAAUUGCAUUUUCAUUCUUAAAUUGUUCUGUGAUUCUGUCCUAGUACACAUAAAUUGUUUUUUUGCUCAGUGCUCAGUUAUGAGGAGUUAGUUGUUCACUGCUUGUUUGCUCACUGCUCCAGACCUCCAGUCAGGAACCACCGAUUGUGAUUUGUGAAGAACUGUGAAUUGAUUAACUGAAGAUGUCAAAUAGUGGAGGCAAGGGAUGUCGUUCCCGUGCUAGAUCAAUGCCACCCGAGAAGCAACUAGGUAUUUCAAGUUUCUUGCCUGAACCUCCACCGCCGCCUCCUUCUACGAAAGGUAGUACCAACGGUCAGCCCUGCAUGGAUGAUGAGGAACAAGAUGCUGAAAGUGAUCCCGACGUCAUGAAUGAUUAUGGUGAGCUUUGACCGUGAGUCAGCGACUAGUCAUGGUGCUUAAUGCUUGACAACAUGUUUGGAACUUUAGAUAAAUAUGUUGCUGUGUCCAUGUGCGGAUGUGCCUGUUUCUGUGUGUUGUGUGUAAUGAACCUUGAACUUUUUUGGAACAUUGGGGCAAGAAAAGGUGCCAGCCGCAUGGAGCACCCUUCUGUGUGGCUGUGUGUAAUGAACCUUGAGCACUAUUCUAUGCGACAACAACUUUG